GGCGGCGCUAACCCGCAAGGAGGCAGCCGACCACGGUAGGGUCAGCGACUGGGGUG
rnacentral:rRNA from 1 species